UACGUAGGGUGCAAGCGUUGUCCGGAAUUAUUGGGCGUAAAGAGCUUGUAGGCGGUUUGUCGCGUCUGCUGUGAAAUUUCGGGGCUCAACCCCGAACUUGCAGUGGGUACGGGCAGACUAGAGUGUGGUAGGGGGAGACUGGAAUUCCUGGUGUAGCGGUGAAAAUGCGCAGAUAUCAGGAGGAACACCGGUGGCGAAGGCAGGUCUCUGGGGCCACUACUGACGCUGAGAAAGCGAAAAGCGUGGG
rnacentral:rRNA from 1 species